GAGAUGCGAUAAUUAAUGUGAAUGGCAGAAUUCAGUGAAUCAUCGAGUCUUUGAACGCACAUUGCGCCCCCUGGUAUUCCGGGGGGCAUGCCUGUCCGAGCGUCAUUGCUGCCCUCAAGCACGGCUUGUGUGUUGGGCUUCCGUCCCUGGCAACGGGGACGGGCCCAAAAGGCAGUGGCGGCACCAUGUCUGGUCCUCGAGCGUAUGGGGCUUUGUCACCCGCUCCCGUAGGUCCAGCUGGCAGCUAGCCUCGCAACCAAUCUUUUUAACCAGGUUGACCUCGGAUCAGGUAGAGAUACCCGCUGAACUUAAGC
rnacentral:misc_RNA from 1 species